UUAACAUUUUCUUCCUCCUCCCUUUCCUUCUUUCCUUCCUGUUAACAUUGAAUAAUUACUAUGUGCCAAAUUUGGUUCUAUUAUCUUUCCAAGAUUUAUUUCCUUUGAAUUUGACAAAAACUUAGAGUAGGCAUUUUAUUACCCAAUUUCAUUUACAAAUGAGAAAAUUGUGACUCAGGGAGGUUAAGAAACAUGACUGCUUCUAGGAGUGUGCUGAUUCACCCAGGACUGCUGACUCCAAGCCACCAGACCACCUGGCCUGGGACUGAGGGGUUUCCCAGGACACAGGACUUUUAGUACUAAAACCAGUCCUGGGCAAGCCAGGAUGAGUCUAUCACCCUGCAUAGCUCCAGAAAGCCCAGGAAAUGGACUCACCAUGUUUAGCUUCAGAUGUCCUGUCUUAUCUCCCAAGUCCUGCCCAGUACAUGCUGGUGUUUCGCUUCAGGGCUGUUUUGUGUCUGCAAAUGCCCUGAUGACUUUCACUCUUCCCUAUGCUUUGCAAAAUACUGGCUGCUUUAUGUAGUGCUCCAGGGAGGGCUGUUCUAGCUCUUGCCCAAAAUGCCCUGUGUCUAUAGGCCUUUCCCCUGCUCAGCCAGCAAAAGCCAAAGGUAGAAUUUUGUUGCUUCCUUCCUUGUGAAGAUUCACUUCCUGUCCAGAGUCUCAUCUGAAAACAAAAGCCCCUCCUCAGCACAGUUUCCUGUGUAACGACAUUAACCAUCAACUCAGCAACCAUUUUACAGGAAUAUUAUAAGAUAACUGUGCUUUCUAUGCCCUGGAUAGAAAGCACAUUUCUCUGCAAUGUACAAAAGCACAUUGCAAAGUUUUGUGAAGUCUCCCUAAGUGUGGGGGAAUACACAGAUUUCCUAAACAUCACAAAUAACCUCUGGAUGGGCUGAGAGAAAUGGGCCCCAGCUAUUUCUCUUAUCUUUGAGGAAGAGGAAUAUUGGAUAUUUCUCUGUAUUACAGAAUCUUAUGGAGGUCACUUGGCUGGAAAACUGGGUUUCCUGCAUCUUAUAAACUGUAACUGCUCUGAUCCAGAAAGUGGCUGGAAAUUUGUGGUUAAGGAACUCCAAAGGUUAACAGGAUUAGACUCCCACAGAUCAAGUUCAAAGAAAUGCUUCAGAAGUAAGCAAACAAACAAAAUUAACCACCCUCUAACAACAGAUCUUCUGGAAUCAAGGGUGAUGACUUCAAAAGCAAUUAACUUUUUUUUGAGACAGAAUCUCACUCUGUCACCCAGGCUGGAGUGCAGUGGUGCAGACUGUACCCUCUGCCUCUGAAGUUCAAUUGAUUCUUCUGCCUCAGCCUCCUGAGUAGCUGGGAUUACAGGCAGCUGCCACCACACUCAGCUAAUUUUUAUCUUUAGUAGAGACAGAAUUUCGCCAUGUUGGUCGGGCUGGCAAUUCUUAAAAGUCUCUGUUGCAUUAGUAGUGAAUUCAAAACUUAAAUAAAUAAAUAAACCAGAAACUUUUAGUGUUAGAAAAUGGUAUUUGGGGAUACAUUUUGCUUAGCAAUUCACUAUUUUCCAAUUACAAGAACGUGCUUAGAAAUCAACAUUAAGAUAACAUUUUUUUCUGAUUAUAAAAAUAAUAUAUACUGCUUAUAGAAAGUUUGGAAAACACAGUAUAAAGAAGAAAAGAAAACUUUUUCAUAAUUCCAUAACCUGGAAAUGCAUAUCUACUAGGAAACAGUUGAGGCCUGACUGUAAAUAAUUCACUGGGUUUUGAAUUGAAUUUAGUGCACGAUCACCACGUCCCACGUGACUUUUAAUGGUUGCUCAGUAUUGUUAUGUGGAUUUGCCAUAAUUUGCUUAACCAAUCUCUUAUUGUUGAACAUUUAUAUUGUUCCUAAUUUUUUGCUCGUAAAUAACACUGAACUUACUGUGGCAGAUACACCCGAUGCAUCUUAGGUUAAUCCCUAGGAAGGGGAUUGCUGGGUGGGCAGCGGUUUUGAUUGUGAACAUCAGAUACUCUACUAGUCACCUUGAGGCCAGUAAGAUUUAUCCUAAGGAUUCUUGACCUAGGAGGCGCCUGGAAUCAGGGCGCUCAGGGACUGCAGCCCUGUUCCUGGCCCAGAGUCAACCUUCCAGGAUUGGCUUGGCGAAAGCAGGGCGGGGCCGAGUAGGAGGACGGGGCGUGGACACUGCGGCAGGGCCACCCGGUGCAGGGAGGGAUGGUGGGGUGCACUGUGACCCUCACAAACCAAAGAUUCGGCGGCCAAGACCAGGCGCUCCCGGAGAGCUGGGAUUCUUGGUGUUGGCUGGGCUGCUGAAGACAGCAGAGGCCAUGAAAGCUGCUUGCUUGUGGCUGGAAUGAAGUCAACUCAGCAUCAUCACUGGAGUCAGCACCUGCUCGUCAGAAGCUCUGAUUGACUGCUAAUGACAUCACGUGGGCCACUCUGCUAAUCACAUUAUCAUGGCAAAUGUCCAGCAGACCAGAUAUGGGGUGAUCAGUUGUUUGAAGGUAAAAGGUAAGAGCUAUGAAGCCAUGUUACAAGAAAUCUGUGUUUACUGCGACAUUGAAGAGCCUCAGCUCACGGAUGUAUAAGCCAUGUGAAGAUGUGCCUGUUUCCCCUUCGCCUUCCACCAUGACUGUGAAACAGGUGACUUCCUUCACUGCCUUUCUCUGGGAGCACGAUGAGCACUAAUUACCUGCUCACUGCCAAGCUGGCACCCGGUGUGAGCUGUCAGCGGCCUCCAGCCCCUUCCUGAAGCAUGGAGCCACAAUUUCCACUUCAGAUACCUCCUCUUUGUGAAGAGGGAUGCCUGCUCCAGUAAUUCUCAGCCCCAGCUAUUCUUCUUGUAGCCCUGGAGAGCAUCACACCUGGAAGACACCUUAGCAGUCGCCUGGCUCCAUCUUCUCUGCAAUACAACCAACCAUUUCUCCUGCAGCAUCGUGGGCAAGGAUGAGCAGAGGGCACUGGAUUUGAACUCGGAAAGCCUUUCUGAGCCUUGGUUUUCUCAUCAGCAAAAUAUGGAUUAUACUACCAGCCUCAAAAUGUUGCAGUAGGGAUUAUAUGAGACCCUCUACCAGCACAUCUUGGGUGGAAUGCACAAAGCUAGGAGGACCGCUGAGCCAUAGGGAGCAGAGUCCAGACUCAUCUCCCCUCACUGGGGAGACAUGCCUCUUCCACGGGCCACCAUUUGCUCUGCUAAUAGCAUGUCUUUAAUGGAUGACAAUCCCUUAAUCCUCUUAGAAAUGACAGAUGGCAAUUCCUACAUUGUAUAGGAAGAAUGGGGUGACUAUUUCACACUUAUACAACAGUUUGAAUAAAUGGAGUUUGUUAUAAAUAUUAA